GAUGAACGCCGGCGGCGUGCCUAAUACAUGCAAGUCGAGCGAACGGACGAGAAGCUUGCUUCUCUGAUGUUAGCGGCGGACGGGUGAGUAACACGUGGAUAACCUACCUAUAAGACUGGGAUAACUUCGGGAAACCGGAGCUAAUACCGGAUAAUAUUUUGAACCGCAUGGUUCAAAAGUGAAAGACGGUCUUGCUGUCACUUAUAGAUGGAUCCGCGCUGCAUUAGCUAGUUGGUAAGGUAACGGCUUACCAAGGCAACGAUGCAUAGCCGACCUGAGAGGGUGAUCGGCCACACUGGAACUGAGACACGGUCCAGACUCCUACGGGAGGCAGCAGUAGGGAAUCUUCCGCAAUGGGCGAAAGCCUGACGGAGCAACGCCGCGUGAGUGAUGAAGGUCUUCGGAUCGUAAAACUCUGUUAUUAGGGAAGAACAUAUGUGUAAGUAACUGUGCACAUCUUGACGGUACCUAAUCAGAAAGCCACGGCUAACUACGUGCCAGCAGCCGCGGUAAUACGUAGGUGGCAAGCGUUAUCCGGAAUUAUUGGGCGUAAAGCGCGCGUAGGCGGUUUUUUAAGUCUGAUGUGAAAGCCCACGGCUCAACCGUGGAGGGUCAUUGGAAACUGGAAAACUUGAGUGCAGAAGAGGAAAGUGGAAUUCCAUGUGUAGCGGUGAAAUGCGCAGAGAUAUGGAGGAACACCAGUGGCGAAGGCGACUUUCUGGUUUGUAACUGACGCUGAUGUGCGAAAGCGUGGGGAUCAAACAGGAUUAGAUACCCUGGUAGUCCACGCCGUAAACGAUGAGUGCUAAGUGUUAGGGGGUUUCCGCCCCUUAGUGCUGCAGCUAACGCAUUAAGCACUCCGCCUGGGGAGUACGACCGCAAGGUUGAAACUCAAAGGAAUUGACGGGGACCCGCACAAGCGGUGGAGCAUGUGGUUUAAUUCGAAGCAACGCGAAGAACCUUACCAAAUCUUGACAUCCUUUGACAACUCUAGAGAUAGAGCCUUCCCCUUCGGGGGACAAAGUGACAGGUGGUGCAUGGUUGUCGUCAGCUCGUGUCGUGAGAUGUUGGGUUAAGUCCCGCAACGAGCGCAACCCUUAAGCUUAGUUGCCAUCAUUAAGUUGGGCACUCUAAGUUGACUGCCGGUGACAAACCGGAGGAAGGUGGGGAUGACGUCAAAUCAUCAUGCCCCUUAUGAUUUGGGCUACACACGUGCUACAAUGGACAAUACAAAGGGCAGCGAAACCGCGAGGUCAAGCAAAUCCCAUAAAGUUGUUCUCAGUUCGGAUUGUAGUCUGCAACUCGACUACAUGAAGCUGGAAUCGCUAGUAAUCGUAGAUCAGCAUGCUACGGUGAAUACGUUCCCGGGUCU
rnacentral:rRNA from 1 species